GCAAGUCGAGCGCGCCCUUCGGGGUGAGCGGCGGACGGGUGAGUAACGUGUGGGAACGUGCCCUAAGGUACGGAAUAGCCUCGGGAAACUGAGAGUAAUACCGUAUGUGCCCUUCGGGGGAAAGAUUUAUCGCCUUAGGAUCGGCCCGCAUUAGAUUAGAUAGUUGGUGGGGUAAUGGCCUACCAAGUCUACGAUCUAUAUCUGGUUUGAGAGGAUGAUC
rnacentral:rRNA from 1 species